rnacentral:misc_RNA from 1 species
AUGGAUUCGUUUUCUCCACUCUAUUAAAAAUUCAAUGUUAUAAAUAAAUUCAAGGUGGUGGAUACUUAUUGAAUUAACCAAAAACUUUAGGCUAGUUUUCUAAACCCUAUACUAAAAUUGUUGCAACUAAGCCUUCAAUAUUGCAAAUCCUUUCAACUUAAGAAAUUCACCAAUUCAUAGGCAUAUAGUGGAUAUGCAACGGAAAUUGAUUGGUUGAAAAAUUAAUUCAAGGGCCUAAGAA